GGAAGGAUCAUUCACACAUUUGCCGCGCAUUGGGUGAUGGCUGGUAGUGCUCUUAGGAGCAUGAAAGCAGUCCUCAAAGCGUUGAGCUCUGCCCGUGUAAUACGCAUUUGGCUUUGUAGUUCUAGGCUGCCAAUUCCAAUUCGUUGGACAAUCCCGUUCCUAGAGCGAUGAGAGAACCACCGGCCGUGGCCUUGCGCAUUCGUGUUAGCUUGACAUGGUUGAUGAGACGAUACGCACGUAGUCUUUGAGGUCGAGUUCGUUGAACUUUGCCUCUUUGGCGAGUGUCGUCGAUUUGUUUCUGCGGGUGAAGUAGUUCUUCAGGCAUUCGUGGCUGGAGGCGAGAAACCCGAGGAUGCAAUAAAAACUUUUAGUCCCUUAACGAUGGAUGCCUCGGCUCGUGAAGCGAUGAAGGACGCAGCUAGGUGCGAUAAGCACUGUGAAUUGCAGAAUUCCGCGAACCAGUAGAUAUCCGAACGCAUUCUGCGCGGGUGGGGUUUACCCCUCUCGCAGGGACGUGUCAGUGUUGGUUUUCAACAUAAACCUUGGACUUACUCCGUAAGAACAAGACGUUGGUUGAACGUGGGUUACCGGCUGUCUUCGGACAAGUAGUAAUUCGUGUUUAUGCCAUAUUUUGUGUGGGGGGCUUUACUGCGCCUCACAUUUACAUUAGAUUCUUUGGCUUCCAUAUGGCUGCUGUUGACCGCUCGUCAGCAGGACGCACGUUUGUCUAGUGGGUUAGCCCAGUAGCUCCAACCGUGUGCGACUGCAUGUGAGUGUGUUGACAGCUUGCAAUAUGUGGAGGCAGCAUUAUUUUCAACCUGACACUUCUCAGACAACCCGCUGAACUUAAGCAUAUCAGUAAGCGGAGGAAAAGAAACUAACCAGGAUUCCCCUAGUAAUGGCGAAUGAACAGGGAGGAGCUCAGUGCCAAAUCAUGCGCUAGUCGUAUGACGUGUGGCUUGCGUGGUUUGCCAGGUUUUUGUCCGGUCAAAGUCCCUUGGAAUAGGGCGCCUGGGAGGGUGACAGCCCCGUCCAUGACUGGUAACGAUUUCCGUACGGCUUUCUGCGAAAAGAGUCGCGUUCUUUGGGAUUGGAGCGCAAAUGGGUGGUAAUUUCCAUCCAAGGCUAAAUAUGACCACGAGACCGAUAGAGAACAAGUACCGUGAGGGAAAGGUCAAAAGAACUUUGAAAAGAGGGUUAAAAGUGCCUGAAAUCGUUAAGGGGGAAGCGAAUGUUGCUGUUGAAUACGCCCCGUUUUGGAUUGUUGGCUUGUUUGGAGUUGUUGGCUAUGUUGGUAGGGAAACCGCUAGCAGGCUGAUUUACUCUUUUCAUCUGAUUUUUCCAAGGUGGGGAUAGCAGCGCCGAUUUUCCGUUUGGGGGCAAAGCCAUGGAUUAGUGUGUUGGACUGCGGUCUUUCGCACUGGCUGUGGUGAUCCCAUGGGGGAAUUGACAAAAGAGUUUGGAAUCCGGACGUGUGGCGAUAUGUGUUUGACUUGGUUCGUUGAAUCUCUCAACGAGGUUUGUCUUGUACGUGUCGCGCUGCGGACGAAACCUUUCUCGAGCGCUGCUACCAACGGCAACAUUUGUCCCGUCUUGAAACACGGACCAAGGAGUCUAACGUGUAUGCGAGUAUGUGGAUGACAAAUCCACGUGCGAAAUGAAAGUGACUCGUAGUUAGUGUGCGUUCGCGUACAUGCAGCUAUGGCCGACCUUGAUCUUCGGUGACAGGUUUGAGUAUGAGCAUACCCGUUAGGACCCGAAAGAUGGUGAACUAUGCCUGAGUAGGCCGAAGCCAGGGGAAACUCUGGUGGAAGGUCGUAGAGAUACUGACGUGCAAAUCGUUCGUCAAACUUGGGUAUAGGGGCGAAAGACUAAUCGAACCAUCUAGUAGCUGGUUCCCUC
rnacentral:misc_RNA from 1 species